UGGGAUGUGGCUCAGCAGUAGAGCGCUUGCCUAGCAUGCUCAGGACCCUGGGUUCGAUCCUCAGCACCGCAU
rfam:Ictidomys tridecemlineatus contig055873, whole genome shotgun sequence.